GAGGGUUCCCUUUUCUCCACAUCCUCACCAAUCCUUGUUAUUUCUCGUCUUUUUGAUAACAGCCAUUCUAACAGGUGUGAAGUGAUAUCUCCUUGUGGCUGAUCUGCAUUUUCCCGACGAUUAGUGAUGCUGAGCAUCUUUUCAUGUGCCUGUUGGCCGUCUGUAUGUCUUCUUUGGAAAAAUGUCUACUCAUCCUCUGCCCAUUUUUUAAUUGAAUUGUUUGGGUUUUUUAAACUUUAAAUAAUUAAAAUUAAAUAAAACUGAAAAUUGAGUUCCUCAGUUGCACGGGCCACAUUUCAAGUGUAUAACAGCCACUGGCUAGUGGCUACCACAUUGGUCAGCACAGCUAUAGACCAUUUCCGUCAUCGCAGAAAGCUCUGUUGAGCCCUUGGAUAGCACAUCAGACCCAGUGCCUCUCGGUCAAAGUCAAGGAAAGAACUGAAUGGAGGAAACGGGAGCAUGUUUGGUGCACAGCAACACGGGAGGGGUGGGAAGACAGCACCCAGCAUCCAAAAGGACAAGCCUGGAACUGCAGGUGGGACUCCUGCUGGUGAACUCCUCCCAGGUACUCUUGAGUUUACCAGAGCUCAUCUGAGUUCAGACAGGGCUGGGAAUGCCCACUGAGGCAGGCAGAGGGACUCUGGUGACACACCACCAGCCCAUCUGGCUAGGCUCCUGAAAGUGCUGGGAAGAGCUCAGGCCUGUCCUCAGAGGACUCAGCACAGCCCUGGGCUCUGGCUGACUUGGCUGGGCAGACGGUACAGAGACCACGUGAGGCCCCAAGAAGGAUCUGGCAGGUCCCCCAUCCACCCCUCUUAGCAGGAAGCUUGACCUCUCCUUGAGGUCACUCGCUGGGAAAGCUCUGCUGGAACUCAGGGCGGAUCAGCAUCAGAAAGCACCUAUCUCCUCUGAGCGGAGGGGCUGCCAACGACUGCGAGGCUGCUUCUGCAAAGCUGACACUUCACGCUGCUCACUCAGGGUACAACGCCCCCCCAGGGCAAACUGCCCCCUUUUAACCUCCCUGCAUCCUGGGAGGGGGCAAGGCAGGCAGAAGCUGGCUCCUCCAUCUUAGAGAUGAAUCCUGAGCCCGUGUAGAGAUGGAAGCUGGACUGUGCUCCCUCCACUAACGACACAGCCAAGGCUUGACCCUGACCUGGGGCCGGAAGACCCUCAGAGGACCCGCUAGGCCCACAUUCUCACACGAGCGUCCGUCCAGCGUCCUGAGAUACAUGCAGGCAAGGAAGUGAAGAACAGAAGUAUGAAGAACUUUUCCCCAAAUCACUGAGCUGGUCAGCUGCAGGCGUCUGCUCUGGAGUCUGUGCUGGCUCUCGCCUCACUCGGCUGCCUCGGGGAGAGCUCAGAGGGCAGGAGGAGGGCUGUGGAGAGCAGUUCCCGGGCGGACGGAGUUGGGCCCAGCGUGGAGGAUCGCGACCUAACCACUGACAGAGUCGCACAUGGAGGGACUGCCUGGUGAGGUGGUAGACAGCCCGCCCCUGGAGGCGUGCAAACAGGGCGGACUGUGUCUUGUGAGGGUCUCCUAGAUGUCACCACGAAUGGGGAAGGCUGGGGCUCCGUGACCUUAAGGCCUGUGGGGCCUGUGUUCGUGAGUCUAUGAAUAGCUUGCUUGGAUGGCAUAAAAAAUCAGGAGACGACCUCACCAGUGGGUGAAGGCAACUAGGAGCCCCGUGGGGAGAGACCAGGACUGGCAACAACAGACUCUGGGAGACGGGGUCACGGGAGAACUCUUGCCCUCUUCAGAUCUGCUUGAGAAUUAAAUAAAUCACUUGUGAAUAAAUAUAAUCACAUUGUUAAAAAUUAGAAUAAUACUAAAGCAGAUUGAGCAAAAUGAAGGCAGAACUUCAUCUCAUUUAUCCCCAAUCCUACCCCCUUCCCACAGAGGUAACGCCCAUGGCCAAUGGGGUUUGUUCCUAUGGAUUUUUUCUAUGAAGUACGUAACAAAAAUAUAUAGAUUUUUCUUAUUUUUGACUUUUUUCUAUAAAUGGAUUCAUACUCUA